GCCGAAAUGGUGAAAUGGUAAACACGUUACUUUAAGAAAGUAAUAAAUUAAUUUUUAUAUGGGUUCAAAUCCCAUUUUCGGUA
rnacentral:tRNA from 1 species